rnacentral:rRNA from 1 species
AGAGAAUAGAUACCCUGGUAGUCCACGCUGUAAACGAUGGAUGCUAGACGUAGUGGGACUUGACUCCUACUGUGUCGAAGUUAACACGAUAAGCAUCCCGCCUGGGAAGUACGGUCGCAAGACUAAAACUCAAAGGAAUUGACGGGGGCCCGCACAAGCGGUGGAUCAUGUGGUUUAAUUCGAAGCAACGCGAAGAACCUUACCUGGGUUUGACAUCCCUUUGAAUACACCUAGAGAUAGGAGUAGGCUCGCAAGAGACAGAGGAGACAGGUGCUGCAUGGCUGUCGUCAGCUCGUGUUGUGAAAUGUUGGGUUUAAGUCCCGCAACGAGCGCAACCCUUGUCUUUGGUUGCCAUCAUUAAGUUGGGCACUCCAGAGAGACUGCCGUCGUCAAGACGGAGGAAGGUGGGGAUGACGUCAAGUCCUCAUGGCCUUUAUAUCCAGGGCGACACACGUGAUACAAUGGUUGGUACAGAGGGAAGCGAAGUGGUGACACGAAGCAAAUCCCAAAAAACC